rnacentral:rRNA from 1 species
UACGUAGGGGGCAAGCGUUGUCCGGAAUCAUUGGGCGUAAAGAGCGUGUAGGCGGCCCGAUAAGUCCGCUGUGAAAGUCAAGGGCUCAACCCUUGAAUGCCGGCGGAUACUGUCGGGCUAGAGUCCGGAAGAGGCGAGUGGAAUUCCUGGUGUAGCGGUGAAAUGCGCAGAUAUCAGGAGGAACACCAAUGGCGAAGGCAGCUCGCUGGGACGGUACUGACGCUGAGACGCGAAAGCGUGGGGAGCAAACAGG